rfam:Ictidomys tridecemlineatus contig061023, whole genome shotgun sequence.
GGGGAUGUAGCUUGGUGGUACAGCACUUGCCUAACAUGCAUGAGGCUCUGGGUUCAAUCCCUAGCACUCCCA